GACGAACGCUGGCGGCGUGCUUAACACAUGCAAGUCGAACGGAAAGGCCCUGCUUUUGUGGGGUGCUCGAGUGGCGAACGGGUGAGUAACACGUGAGUAACCUGCCCUUGACUUUGGGAUAACUUCAGGAAACUGGGGCUAAUCCCGGAUAGGAGCUCCUGCUGCAUGGUGGGGGUUGGAAAGUUUCGGCGGGUGGGGAUGGACUCGCGGCUUAUCAGCUUGUUGGUGGGGUAGUGGCUUACCAAGGCUUUGACGGGUAGCCGGCCUGAGAGGGUGACCGGCCACAUUGGGACUGAGAUACGGCCCAGACUCCUACGGGAGGCAGAAGUGGGGAAUAUUGCACAAUGGGCGGAAGCCUGAUGCAGCAACGCCGCGUGCGGGAUGACGGCCUUCGGGUUGUAAACCGCUUUCGCCUGUGACGAAGCGUGAGUGACGGUAAUGGGUAAAGAAGCACCGGCUAACUACGUG
rnacentral:rRNA from 1 species